UUACCAUUUCACACUUUUUCCGCAUAAUGUCUUUUAUCAAAUCAACUUCGGUUCCACGAACUCUCUAUUGUACUACCCAAAUAUUUUCACCAUAAAGAUGCUUAAUCUGACCGGUUGUACUUGACACAUGGGAGAUUGAAAACACACCCUCUCCAUACCUUACUUGCCGAGAGCACAUUUUUUCAAUUCGGUUCCUCAUCCGACAUGAGUCACCAUCUCCAUUUUGCUAGUAGUGUUUUAUUAAAAAAA
rnacentral:lncRNA from 1 species